rnacentral:lncRNA from 1 species
UUUUUAUAUUUUUAAAUAAUAGUAUUUAAUAUUUUAAUUUCACAAAUUUAAUUGGAUGGUAUAUAAAUGUGAGAGAUUUUUUUUUUAUUUGAAAAAAAAAAAAAAAUAACAACAUCUGGUAUUUAAUGUGGGUCGGACUGAGUAGACUUGCCAGAUUCUUGCUGGUUCGUGAAUCCGCCGACAAAAAGUUUCAUCAACGGUGGGCCCGUCCGAAUCGAAAGGUUCAGAGUUGGUGAUUACGAGGCUGUACUUUGUCAAACACUUUACAGUAAAGGAAUGCGGCUGUGAGCUCACCCUCAUCUCAUCAUGCUUACGUCAACCUUUUUAAUCAUCACACCUUCCAUUUGUAAUAAUUAUCAAUU